rnacentral:lncRNA from 1 species
UUGAAUUGCUUCAAAUUGGUCUUCAGAAAAUUUCAUAGUUUUUGGUGGCAAUGUGGGAUAAGGGCUCCACUAUCUAAAUAUAACCAUGUUGGAGACUAAAUUACUAACAAUUUCAUUCAACAACAUCUCGUCAUCAACUUAAACAUUGGUCUCCACUCUCUUGUAUAACCUCUUAAACCAAUAUUCACAAAUCCGUUCACAGUGCAUCAAUAGAAAUUCAGCAACCACAAAUAGUAUAUAGGCAGUUCAAGAAAUCUUUGGUUGUACUUUAGUAAAACUUUGUUUCAAGACAUAGAAUGAAAUGAUGAUUUAGAUAGACUCGUUAAAGCCCCCACAUGUUCUACAAAAAUGUACACAUUAAUAACUAAUAAAUCCCCAAACACCAACCUCUAAUAGUUUGUUUGUGUUAAAAUAAUUACUAAAUUAAUAGUGCAAUUGUAUUAUCACAAGCAAACACAAUUAGAUAAUAAUAAAUCUUAUAGAACCAACGGUAUUCAAGUUUCCAAGUGCAUGAUGCUUUCACCUUUCUUCAUAACCUUUAGCAGCGAGUGCUAUCUUGGACGGCAAGAUCAUGUCCUAUCCUCAUCUUAAUGCCACAAAAAGCAAAAUAUAUUUUUUCGAAGAAGUGUCAAAACGAUAAUAACAAGUAAAACGAAGCGUAAAAACGAGAAAAAGUACCAAAACGAUAAAAAGCGGCAAAACCAAACGAUAAAAGGAGAAAAAACACCAAUAACUUAAACGGCAAAACGAAACGCCAAAACAAGAAAAAACACCGA